rnacentral:rRNA from 1 species
GACGAACGCUGGCGGCGUGCUUAACACAUGCAAGUCGAACGGAAAGGCCCUGCUUUUGUGGGGUGCUCGAGUGGCGAACGGGUGAGUAACACGUGAGUAACCUGCCCUUGACUUUGGGAUAACUUCAGGAAACUGGGGCUAAUACCGGAUAGGAGCUCCUGCUGCAUGGUGGGGGUUGGAAAGUUUCGGCGGUUGGGGAUGGACUCGCGGCUUAUCAGCUUGUUGGUGGGGUAGUGGCUUACCAAGGCUUUGACGGGUAGCCGGCCUGAGAGGGUGACCGGCCACAUUGGGACUGAGAUACGGCCCAGACUCCUACGGGAGGCAGCAGUGGGGAAUAUUGCACAAUGGGCGGAAGCCUGAUGCAGCAACGCCGCGUGCGGGAUGACGGCCUUCAGGUUGUAAACCGCUUUCGCCUGUGACGAAGCGUGAGUGACGGUAAUGGGUAAAGAAGCACCGGCUAACUACGUGCCAGCAGCCGCGGUGAUACGUAGGGUGCGAGCGUUGUCCGGAUUUAUUGGGCGUAAAGGGCUCGUAGGUGGUUGAUCGCGUCGGAAGUGUAAUCUUGGGGCUUAACCCUGAGCGUGCUUUCGAUACGGGUUGACUUGAGGAAGGUAGGGGAGAAUGGAAUUCCUGGUGGAGCGGUGGAAUGCGCAGAUAUCAGGAGGAACACCAGUGGCGAAGGCGGUUCUCUGGGCCUUUCCUGACGCUGAGGAGCGAAAGCGUGGGGAGCGAACAGGCUUAGAUACCCUGGUAGUCCACGCUGUAAACGGUGGGUACUAGGUGUGGGGUCCAUUCCACGGGUUCCGUGCCGUAGCUAACGCUUUAAGUACCCCGCCUGGGGAGUACGGCCGCAAGGCUAAAACUCAAAGGAAUUGACGGGGCCCCGCACAAGCGGCGGAGCAUGCGGAUUAAUUCGAUGCAACGCGUAGAACCUUACCUGGGUUUGACAUGGAUCGGGAGUGCUCAGAGAUGGGUGUGCCUCUUUUGGGGUCGGUUCACAGGUGGUGCAUGCCUGUCGUCAGCUCGUGUCGUGAGAUGUUGGGUUAAGUCCCGCAACGAGCGCAACCCUUGUUCACUGUUGCCAGCACGUUAUGGUGGGGACUCAGUGGAGACCGCCGGGGUCAACUCGGAGGAAGGUGGGGAUGACGUCAAGUCCUCAUGCCCCUUAUGUCCAGGGCUUCACGCAUGCUACAAUGGCUGGUACAGAGAGUGGCGAGCCUGUGAGGGUGAGCGAAUCUCGGAAAGCCGGUCUCAGUUCGGAUUGGGGUUUGCAACUCGACCUCAUGAAGUCGGAGUCGCUAGUAAUCGCAGAUCAGCAACGCUGCGGUGAAUACGUUCCCGGGGCU